CUGCAGCUCAGAAGAAGAGCUGACUUAGUUCCAGUGAUUUUUUUUUAAAUGACCUGUUAUUAUUUUUUCACUUCUUAGGAUAAAAAUGGCAUUGCUCUAUGUCCCCCUUUUCCUCCUCAUGCUGCUCCCAGGUAGGUAUCUCCCCAAAUGCUCACUGUCCCUUACACCCAGGAUUAUAGUCCUGAAUCUUAAUUGUAUAAUGUUAACAUGAUCUGUGUACUUUGGAUUAAUGGAGCCAUGGUGUGGCUGCUUACGAAGUAGCUUUUCAAGCCUGGAGGGGGGACCCUGCCUAACUCUGGUUUUCCUUGCUUCUCCCAAUCCCUUCAGGUGUUUUCUCCCAGGUCACAUUGAAGGAAUCUGGACAAGGAACAGUGAGACCAGGAGAGACCCUUGAGCUGACAUGUACGGUCACUGGGCGCUCUGUGACAAGCAGCUAUUGGUGGAUCUGGGUACGACAGAGCCCUGGGAAAGGGCUCGAAUGGAUGGGAGGGUGGACUGCAAGAUCGUACUACGCUGCAUCAUUCCAAAACCGAAUCACCAUCUCUGUGGAUUCUUCCCAAACCAAGUACUUUCUGAGACUGAGCUCUGUGACAGCUGCAGACACAGCCAUGUAUUACUGUGCAACAGGCAC